UUUGUAUUUUUAGUAGGGACGGGGUUUCACAAUGUUGAUCAGGCUGGUCUUGAACCCCUGGCCUCAGGUGAUCCACCCACCUCGGCCUCCCAAAGUGAUGGGAUUACAGGUGUGAGCCACCACGCCUGGCCACCCCAAUAUAUUUUUAAUAAAUAUUUGUUGACUAGGGACAUCUCUUUGGAGUUAGACAAAGGACCUUUUAGGUGGUAAAUAAAUGUCAUCUAACAUAUCAAUUUAUUUUUAAAAAUAACUUAUAUCAGUGUCUCUGAACUAUUUAACCUGAAGAUAUAACUAUCAAUUUGAUCAUCUUGGUACACAAUGAAGUACUUUCUGUACUGUGAACGUUCAGAGCAUAUAUGUUAAUUUAGUGUUUUAGAUUUUCUUUCAUAUUCUCUUAUGAUGCUUGCCUGUUAAUAUUGCUAUUCCAGCUAUUUUUGGUGUGUGAGGAGGUGUAUUUAUAUGUUACAUGUUUUUUAUCCCCUUGUUUUUUAUUCUGUUUUUGUGUUAGGGCUAUCUCUUGUAAGCUACAUUUACCUAGAUUUUAUUUUCAUAUCCAUUUUGAUAAUCUCUACUUUUAAUGGGUGAUUUUAAUCCAUUUAUAUUUAUUGUGAUUACGGAUACAUGGGGACUUAUUUCUACCAUUUUUUGUGCAUUUUUGUUUUUAUCCUCUGCCUUUUCUUUCCAUGUGCCUGCCCUCAGUUAGAUAAUCACCUUCUUAUUUUUCCUCUGUUUUUCUAAUGCUGUAGAUUAUAUUUCUGUUUUUAAAUUUUAAAUUAAAUUUUGCCAAUAAAGUUUAGUGUUAUUCAGUAUUUUUCUCCUAUUAUAAGUUGAUGCAAAAGUAAUUGGGGUUUUUGAAAGUAAUGUGGUAAAAAUAAAAUUACUUUUGCACCAGCUGAAUAUAUCAAAGUUGUUAGCAUGCCUUACCAUCUAAACAUUUCCUUACCUAUCUUAUUAUUUUUUAGAGUUUGAGUUUUACACUUUUUAAACCCUCAAACAUUACUUUAAAAAUACUAGUAGUUAACAUUUUAGUAAUUUUCACAAUAACUUGUUUCUUACAGCCCAUGGGUUCUAUCUGCUUCCACUUUUCUUCUUGAUGAACUGCAUCUUGUAAGAGCUUUUUAAAGAGAUCUUUAAUAGGUGGUAAAAUUUCCUUUAUUUCUACCUGAUACCAUUUUUUUUUUAAUUUCUUGUUCUUGUGAUGGCUCUUUUACUUUCAUUUAUGUUUUUGGAUGUCCUCAAGUACUUAUUUUACAAUCUUUGACAGAUUGCACUAAAUAAAUUGCUUCUGAAAAGAAUUUUUGUUACAGUUACUGAUUUUGUGGCUUGCUUUCUUAGCAUUUGAUUUCUUCAUGUGUCUCAGAACUUUCUUGUGCAAUUUACUUUUAAGUGGAAAGUUUAUGUUUUAAUGUCUUCCCUCCUAUGCAGUCCCCCCUCAGUCCUUGCCACCAUCCAAGGAAUUUUGCAAUUGACAUUGGGGAUAUUGGCAGAUACAGCCCUGGAGCCAGAGGGUGGCUUGACUUUGUUCCUGGUACUGAGGCAGUAUUCUGGUCCCCACCUUCCUAGACCCAUGGUUGCUGAUUAAAAUCAUAGUCUCAGUCAACAGGUUUUGAUUGU
rnacentral:lncRNA from 1 species